UACGUAGGUGACCAGCGUUGUCCGGAUUUACUGGGCGUAAAGAGCGCGCAGGCGGUCGUUCAAGUCGAGUGUGAAAGCCCCCGGCUCAACUGGGGAGGGUCACUCGAUACUGAUCGACUUGAAGGCAGGAGAGGGAAGCGGAAUUCCCGGUGUAGUGGUGAAAUGCGUAGAUAUCGGGAGGAACACCAGUGGCGAAGGCGGGUCUCUGGGCAGUAACUGACGCUGAGGAGCGAAAGCGUGGGGAGCGAACAGG
rnacentral:rRNA from 1 species